UAGGGAAUCUUCGGCAAUGGACGAAAGUCUGACCGAGCAACGCCGCGUGAGUGAAGAAGGCUUUCGGAUCGUAAAACUCUGUUGUCAGAGAAGAACAAGGACGUUAGUAACUGAACGUCCCCUGACGGUAUCUAACCAGAAAGCCACGGCUAACUACGUGCCAGCAGCCGCGGUAAUACGUAGGUGGCAAGCGUUGUCCGGAUUUAUUGGGCGUAAAGCGAGCGCAGGCGGUUUCUUAAGUCAGAUGUGAAAGCCCCCGGAUCAACCGGGGAGGGUCAUUAGAAACUGGGAGACGUGAGUGCAGAAGAGGAGAGUGGAAGUCCAUGUGUAGCGGUGAAAUGCGUAGAUAUAUGGAGGAACGCCGGUGGCGAAGGCGGCUCUCUGGUCUGAAACGGACGCUGAGGCUCGAAAGCGUGGGGAGCAAACAGG
rnacentral:rRNA from 1 species